AUGCUAAUCAAAGAUUUUAUUUAUUUGAGAGAAAAGCAGACUGCAGACUCCCCACUGAGCGGGGAGCCCAAAGUGGGUCUCAAUCCCAGGACCCUGAGAUCAAGACCUGAGCCAAAAGGCAGCUGCCCAACUGACCAAGCCACCCAGGAGAAAUGGAAAACCAUGGAGGAAAAUGAGAUUUACAGUGUUGAGGAAUUCUCACUCAAUGAAAUUUUUAUUUAACACACUGUCAAGCAGAAUCAUCUUCAGGAGUUAUGAAUAUUUUGGCCGAUCUUCCUGGAAGCAGGAAAUGAACCUUCACUUUAUUGAAUGUCUCUACAAAAUGGGGCCAUUAUGAUUUAAUUGAAGAAUAAAUAAAGGCACAAAGGCAAAUACCAAAAUAUCAAGUGCUGCAUUGCAUGACAUUAGUUCUAAAAUCCUGAUUUCUUUUUGAAAAAUGCUAAAAGGAAUUGUGUUAUUCAUUGCUUUCCAAGCUUUCAAGAUUAUUAUCUCUAUACCCUAAACCUUUUUCAUUCCUUCAAUAUUUGCCACUUUGUAAAAUAGGAGUGCUAGCAAUUCUUGAGAGACCAAUCCAUUUGAAUUAGGGAGUCUUUAACCUUAACAUUAGUACCAGAU
rnacentral:lncRNA from 1 species